GUGGGGAAUUUUGGACAAUGGGCGCAAGCCUGAUCCAGCAAUGCCGCGUGCAGGAAGAAGGCCUUCGGGUUGUAAACUGCUUUUGUACGGAACGAAACGGCUCUGGUUAAUACCCGGGGCUAAUGACGGUACCGUAAGAAUAAGCACCGGCUAACUACGUGCCAGCAGCCGCGGUAAUACGUAGGGUGCAAGCGUUAAUCGGAAUUACUGGGCGUAAAGCGUGCGCAGGCGGUUUUGUAAGACAGGCGUGAAAUCCCCGGGCUCAACCUGGGAAUGGCGCUUGUGACUGCAAAGCUGGAGUGCGGCAGAGGGGGAUGGAAUUCCGCGUGUAGCAGUGAAAUGCGUAGAUAUGCGGAGGAACACCGAUGGCGAAGGCAAUCCCCUGGGCCUGCACUGACGCUCAUGCACGAAAGCGUGGGGAGCAAACAGGAUUAGAAACCCGUGUAGUCC
rnacentral:rRNA from 1 species